GAUAACCCCGGGAAACUGGGGAUAAUACCCCAUAGACUAUGGAAGCUGGAAUGCUUCUGUAGUUGAAAGGUCCGCCGCCAUAGAAUGGGUCUGCGGCCGAUUAGGUUGUUGUUGGGGUAACGGCCCAACAAGCCUGUAAUCGGUACGGGUUGUGGGAGCAAGAGCCCGGAGAUGGAUUCUGAGACACGAAUCCAGGCCCUACGGGGCGCAGCAGGCGCGAAAACUUUACAAUGCGGGAAACCGUGAUAAGGGAACUCCGAGUGCCCGUAAAAUCGGGCUGUCCAUCUGUUUAAAUAACAGGUGAAGAAAGGGCCGGGCAAGACCGGUGCCAGCCGCCGCGGUAAUACCGGCGGCUCGAGUGGUGGCCACUAUUACUGGGCUUAAAGCGUUCGUAGCUGGUCUGUUAAGUCUCUGGGGAAAUCUACUGGCUUAACCAAUAGGCGUUUCAGGGAUACUGGCAGACUAGGGACCGGGAGAGGUGAGAGGUACUCCAGGGGUAGGAGUGAAAUCCUGUAAUCCUUGGGGGACCACCUGUGGCGAAGGCGUCUCACCAGAACGGCUCCGACAGUGAGGGACGAAAGCUGGGGGAGCAAACCGGAUUAGAUACCCGGGUAGUCCCAGCUGUAAACGAUGCGCGUUAGGUGUAUCGGUGACCACGAGUCACCGAGGUGCCGAAGAGAAAUCGUGAAACGUGCCGCCUGGGAAGUACGGUCGCAAGGCUGAAACUUAAAGGAAUUGGCGGGGGAGCAC
rnacentral:rRNA from 1 species